GGCGGCAGAGGAAGCGGCAACACAUGAGCACACACUAGGGUAAACAGUCGCGCUGGCGAACAGUUGUUCAUCUAGAGCCGCAUCAGUUGGAUUCACGUGAAAUUGCAUUCCCCGGCGGAAAAUAUGGGAAAAUAUGCCGCACUCCCGCUUAGCCAGAUUCGAUUCCAAGCCCAAAGAAUGCUCCAUUUAGCCGCCGGACGGGCUAAAUUGGAUCUGGAGCCCUACCUUACCAGCUCAACUCACCGAAAGUUGGGUAGGGAAAACGUGAGAAGCGUAGUUUGGAUGUUUGGUUUGAUUUCAUCUUUGAAUUGUGCAAAUGAGUAGCACGAGCCAGAGCCAUGGGAGUCUAAAAAGUGGUUAGUGGUUCCACUGACCAAUGGGCAAACUUACCGAGAGGAACAACUGAUGAAGUAAAUGUGUAUCUGUGCACGUUUCGUACCACAAGUAAUGGUUAUACAGGUGUAUGUGUCCACUGUUUUUUGUUAUCAGUUAAAUAAAUUGAAAAUCGCGGAAUG
ensembl:ncRNA lncRNA:CR44283 long non-coding RNA:CR44283